UCAAGCAUUAUGAAGAACCAUCUACCAUAGAUUUCAGAUGCAGUGAUCUGCUAUCCGUACUCAGGUAUGAAGUUUUGAAUUCAAUUAAUAUUUAGAUAUGAUCUAAAUAUAAAUUAGAUAUGUUCUAUACUUGCUGAAUUUUAGAUUUCAGAUGUGUAUACAUGUAUAUUAGUUUAUGUCAUAGAUCCUGUAUGGUGAUUUAGAUUUGAUCAAUGCAUAUAUUGUAGAUUAAAUUAUUUAAUUUAUAUAUAUUUUACUAUAAAAUUUUUGAAAAUACAUGCACAUCACCCACCAUGCUUCCCUUCAUGAACCUAUGAGAUCACACGUAUUAGAAGAUUUGGUCAGAUCUGAUGGUUGAAAAGUCCAAUUGAAUUAUGACUUUGGUGAGAAGUCCUACUGGGACUGGAACUCUGGAAGAGAGUCUCACUGGGAUUGAAACUCUACUAUCAAUGGAGAAUUAAUUAAUAAUUGACUCAAUUUGAUUGAGUAAAGAUCUUUGGAUCAAGUCUAAUUGAAUUAGAUUCAGUUCGACUCAGAUUGGAUUUGAUAUGAUCAAUCCUGAAUAUAAG
rnacentral:lncRNA from 1 species